ACGGGCUUCGGUCUGGUGGCGAGUGGCGAACGGGUGAGUAAAGUAUCGGAACGUACCUUUCAGUGGGGGAUAACGUAGCGAAAGUUACGCUAAUACCGCAUAUUCUGUGAGCAGGAAAGCAGGGGAUCGCAAGACCUUGCGCUGAUUGAGCGGCCGAUAUCAGAUUAGCUAGUUGGUGGGGUAAAGGCCUACCAAGGCGACGAUCUGUAGCGGGUCUGAGAGGAUGAUCCGCCACACUGGAACUGAGACACGGUCCAGACUCCUACGGGAGGCAGCAGUGGGGAAUUUUGGACAAUGGGGGCAACCCUGAUCCAGCCACGCCGCGUGAGUGAAGAAGGCCUUCGGGUUGUAAAGCUCUUUCGGCCGGGAAGAAAUCGCAUGGGCUAAUACCCUGUGUGGAUGACGGUACCGGAAUAAGAAGCACCGGCUAACUACGUGCCAGCAGCCGCGGUAAUACGUAGGGUGCGAGCGUUAAUCGGAAUUACUGGGCGUAAAGCGUGCGCAGCGGUUUAGUAAGACAGGCGUGAAAUCCCCGGGCUCAACCUGGGAACUGCGCUUGUGACUGCUAAGCUAGAGUAC
rnacentral:rRNA from 1 species